GUAGUUGGGCGGGGUAACGGCCCACCAAGCCGACGAUCAGUAAACUGGUGUGAGAGCACGACUAGUCACACGGGCACUGAGACACGGGCCCGACUCCUACGGGAGGCAGCAGUAAGGAAUAUUGGUCAAUGGACGAAAGUCUGAACCAGCCAUGCCGCGUGAAGGAUGAAGGUCCUCUGGAUUGUAAACUUCUUUUAUAUGGGACGAAAAAAGGGUUUUCUAACUCUACUGACGGUACCAUAUGAAUAAGCACCGGCUAACUCCGUGCCAGCAGCCGCGGUAAUACGGAGGGUGCAAGCGUUAUCCGGAUUUACUGGGUUUAAAGGGAGCGUAGGUGGGCUGCUAAGUCAGUGGUGAAAUCCCGGGGCUCAACCUCGGAACUGCCGUUGAUACUAUCAGUCUUGAAUAUUGUGGAGGCUAGCGGAAUAUGUCAUGUAGCGGUGAAAUGCUUAGAUAUGACAUAGAACACCGAUUGCGAAGGCAGCUGGCUACGCAUAUAUUGACACUGAGGCUCGAAAGCGUGGGUAGCAAACAGGAUUAGAUACCCUGGUAGUCCACGCCCUAAACGAUGGAUACUCGACAUUAGCGAUAUACUGUUAGUGUCUGAGCGAAAGCAUUAAGUUCCCAC
rnacentral:rRNA from 1 species